UAAAAGUUUGGUCCUAGCUUUACUAUCGACUAUUUCUUAACUUACACAUGCAAGUCUCAGCACACCCGUGAGAACGCCCUUUCAACCUUUACCAGGUAAAGGAGCCGGCAUCAGGCACAACCCACCUGCCCACAACGCCUAGUCCUACCACACCCUCAAGGGUAAUCAGCAGUGAUAAAUCUUGUGUAUAAGCGCCAGCUUGACUCAGUUAAAGAAAAUAGGGCUGGCCAACCCGGUGCCAGCCGCCGCGGCUAAACCGCUGGGGCCCAAGUUGAUAGUCAUCGGCGUUAAGCGUGAUUAGAGUACCAAACAAGUUAGGGUUAAAUUAAUACCUAGUAGUAAUAAGCUUGUCAUUAAGAAAAUCAUAAACGAAAGUUACCCUAAUAAACACUUGAAUACACGACAGCUGGGAACCAAACUGGGAUUAGAUACCCCACUAUGCCCAGCCGUAAACAAUUAACUUACACUAAUAAACGCCAGGGAACUACGAGCUAUGCUUAAAACCCAAAGGACUUGACGGUGUCCCAUACCAACUAGAGGAGCCUGUUCUAUAAUCGAUGAUCCCCGCUAUACCUAACCAUCCCUUGCUUUAUCAGCCUGUAUACCUCCGUCAUAAGCCUACCAUGUGAACGUCAACAGUGGGCCCAAUGGUUUGUAUAACCAAAAUGCCAGGUCAAGGUGCAGCUCACGGAAUGGUAAGUAAUGGGCUACAAUUUCUAAUCUAGAACAAACGGAAAGCUAUGUGAAAUCACAGCCUAAAGGUGGAUUUAGUAGUAAAAAGAAAAUAGAGUGUUCUUUUUAACCCGGCCCUGGGACACGUACACACCGCCCGUCACCCUCUUCAAUAGCUCUCAUUCAUGUAUAUUACACUAUAUCUGCGUUUUAGAAGAGGCAAGUCGUAACAUGGUAAGUGUACUGGAAAGUGCACUUGGUUAA
rnacentral:rRNA from 1 species